rnacentral:rRNA from 1 species
CCGUCAAUUUCUUUGAGUUUUUCUUCGAGGGGCCCCGGGUCCGUCCCGGCGCCCCCGCCCUCCUACGGGAGGCAGCAGUGGGGAAUUUUUCGCAAUGGGGGCAACCCUGACGAAGCAAUGCCGCGUGGAUGAAGAAGGCCUUCGGGUUGUAAAGUCCUUUCGUGGGGGACGAAAAGGUGGUUCCUAAUACGAGCUGCUGUUGACGUGAACCCAAGAAGAAGCACCGGCUAACUCCGUGCCAGCAGCCGCGGUAAUACGGGGGGUGCAAGCGUUAAUCGGAAUCACUGGGCGUAAAGGGUGCGUAGGCGGUACGUUAGGUCUGUCGUGAAAUCCCCGGGCUCAACCUGGGAAUGGCGGUAGAAACCGGCGAACUAGAGUAUGGGAGAGGGUGGUGGAAUUCCAGGUGUAGCGGUGAAAUGCGUAGAGAUCUGGAGGAACAUCAGUGGCGAAGGCGGCCACCUGGCCCAAUACUGACGCUGAGGCACGAAAGCGUGGGGAGCAAACAGGAUUAGAUACCCUGGUAGUCCACGCCCUAAACGAUGAAUACUAGAUGUUUGGUACCUAGCGUACUGAGUGUCGUAGCUAACGCGAUAAGUAUCCGCCUGAAG